GCAGCGAGAUUACUUAAUGGAAAGACGGGACCUCGCCAUUGAUUUUAUUUUUUCUUUAGUAUUAAUAGAAGUUUUGAAACAGAUUCCACUUCAUCCUGUAAUAGACAGUUUAAUACAUGAUGUUAUUAACCUGGCUUUCAAGCACUUUAAGUACAAAGAAGGGUACCUUGGUCCUAACACUGGCAAUAUGCACAUCGUGGCAGACCUGUAUGCAGAAGUCAUUGGAGUAUUGGCACAAGCUAAGU